rfam:Anopheles minimus strain MINIMTS1 unplaced genomic scaffold supercont1.16, whole genome shotgun sequence.
AAAACGGUCCUUUUCAGGACCCCAAAUGAUUAUUUAAAAGAUAUUU